UAUGGACGGGAAUAACCUCGGGAAACUGAGAAUAAUGCCCGAUAGAACAUUAUGCCUGGAAUGGUUUAUGUUCCAAAUGAUUUAUCGCCGUAGGAUGGGACUGCGGCCUAUCAGUUUGUUGGUGAGGUAAUGGCCCACCAAGACUAUUACAGGUACGGGCUCUGAGAGGAGUAGCCCGGAGAUGGGUACUGAGACACGGACCCAGGCCCUAUGGGGCGCAGCAGGCGAGAAAACUUUGCAAUGUGCGAAAGCACGACAAGGUUAAUCCGAGUGAUUUGUGCUAAACAAAUCUUUUGUUAGUCCUAGAAACACUAACGAAUAAGGGGUGGGCAAGUUCUGGUGUCAGCCGCCGCGGUAAAACCAGCACCUCAAGUGGUCAGGAUGAUUAUUGGGCCUAAAGCAUCCGUAGCCGGCUCUGUAAGUUUUCGGUUAAAUCUGUACGCUCAACGUACAGGCUGCCGGGAAUACUGCAAAGCUAGGGAGUGGGAGAAGUAGACGGUACUCGGUAGGAAGUGGUAAAAUGCUUUGAUCUAUCGAUGACCACCUGUGGCGAAGGCGGUCUACUAGAACACGUCCGACGGUGAGGGAUGAAAGCUGGGGGAGCAAACCGGAUUAGAUACCCGGGUAGUCCCAGCUGUAAACUAUGCAAACUCAGUGAUGCAUUGGCUUGUGGCCAAUGCAGUGCUGCAGGGAAGCCGUUAAGUUUGCCGCCUGGGAAGUACGUACGCAAGUAUGAAACUUAAAGGAAUUGGCGGGGGAGCACCACAAGGGGUGAAGCCUGCGGUUCA
rnacentral:rRNA from 1 species